GACAGUUUGGUCGAGGGGGCUAGGGCUUUAGCCCCAGACGGCCAGUCCGAAAGGGCGCGAGUUCGAAUCUCGCAGCUGUUA
rnacentral:tRNA from 1 species